UACAGGGGGUGCAAACGUUGCUCGGAAUCAUUGGGCGUAAAGCGCACGUAGGCGGUCUGUUAUGUCGGAUGUGAAAGCCCUUGGCUUAACUGAGGAAGUGCAUCCGAAACUGGCAGGCUAGAGUACUAAAGAGGGUCGCGGAAUUCCCGGUGUAGAGGUGAAAUUCGUAGAUAUCGGGAGGAACACCGGUGGCGAAGGCGGCGACCUGGGUAGAUACUGACGCUGAGGUGCGAAAGCGGUGGGGAGCAAACAGG
rnacentral:rRNA from 1 species